AUACACUUGUGAUGUGAAGAGAUCUUAACUUGUGAUUUGUAUUAUAAAUGCUUUAUGCUGCGGAAAUUUUUAUUUUAAAUGAAUGUGACUUGAUAUUAAAACCCAUUUUAACUUAUGUUUUAAUGUUAAGGUUUUUAUUUUUCCUGAUCAUUUCUUAGACAAAAAUUGACUAAUGUAUCGUUUUUCAUGUUCCUUCAAGCAAUCUUCACUUUAUGCAACGUUGCCUUGUUAUUUCCUUUACCUGCUAUUUCUUUAUCACCUGAAGAAUCAAGUGCAUGCUAUCACCCCACUUCAGGUUCGUAAAAAUUUCUAUUUUUAUUGAGAAAAUGAUUUUUAAAUAAUUAUGCCAUGAUUGAUACAUAGUUAAGUUUUAACAAGUUUUGAAUUACCUUUGAGGUAAGGACUGUGAUCAUGGGUUUUUGAGAUUGUAAAAGUCCUCCCAGCCACAAAGCUCUUGUUAGUCAGAAAUAAGGUACAUUUAAAGUUUUGCGGGUUGAAAUAUCAAUACUUUUAUAAUAAAAUGCUGAAUCAAAGAUUUUUUAAGUGAAACUUUAUGCAAGGGCUUUGAAGUUAUAUCCAACCUUUUUGUGUGAUGAAAGGUGGUGGGGAUAAGCAAUGUCGGUUAGAAGGAAAAUAGUGGCUUGCUUGCCUUCAGAUAUUGGAAGAAAGUGAGACCUUGCGCUCUUCUCGCUUUCUUUCUCAUUUUGUAUGGUUGCAUGUACUACGUUUAGGCAGCGCGGAGAUCAAUAUGUACAUUUGUAAUUACUUACUUUAGUUAUCGUAAACAGAUCAUUUCUCUUCUUAAGAAGGAAGAAGAUGAUCAUUAUAAGUGGACACAUGUAUAUAAUUUUAUGUAAGAAAAUGAAUAAGAAAUACAAUCUAUUUAAAAAUGUUUGAUGAACAAUUAAUUUUGUUUCACGUCUAUCGUGUGUCAUUAUGAUACAACCCGUUUCUUGGAAUCGAACUUUAGAAGAAUUCUACUCUUCUAGAUCAGCAGAAAAAUAAAGUACAUGAAGCUCUCACCCCACAUCAAUUUCGUAAAAAUUUCGAUAUUUGGUGGAAAAAUGAUUUUUAAAUAAUCCUAUCUCGAUUAAUGUGGAGUUAAAUUUUAACUAGUGUGGCAUUUUAAAAUAAAGGCUGUCAUAAUGGGUUUUUGAGAUUAUCCGUAAAGAUCAGGGUUCGAAAAUAUCCGAUAUUUUGAUAUAUAUUGGAUAUUUUGAUAUUUAUCCGAUGUUUUCAAUCAAUGCAAAAUAAAGUCUUUAGUAACUACUUCCUUAAAUCAGAGUUGUUUAUUUCUCUUAUAUUAUUAUUAUUAUUAUUAUAAUGCAUCCACUUUAAAAGUAAUGUUUCUUUCAUUAUUUAUAUUCAUUUAUUACAUGUUCGUGAUUUUGCCUCGCCCACUCAAAAGGUAAUUCAAUUGCAUCCGAGUUCAUUUCAACCACUCAUAAAAAUAAAUGUAUAAAUAAACAAAUAUUCAAUUUAUCAGAGAUUAUCUUAAUUUGUUAAAGGCUUUAGAAAAUCAAUACUUUUUUCAGGAAAUAGAACAUUGAAAUAAAGGGGAAAUCAAAUGCUCUAAGACAAUGGUGCCCAAUAUACAGCUUUCAAAACUGAUUCAUGUGUGGCCAGCUGAAAUAUCUGGUAUAGAUAAAUGAAUUUACUGAAAAAUGUGGCUUUAUUUUAAAGAAUCUAAAUUUGAGCAUCAGUUAUAUUGCAUUCUCUAUAUUUUUAUUUCACUUAAAUUUAUAUGUUAAAGCCAAACAAGAACAGUUUAUAAAUAAUUUCUACAGUAUGCACUCACAUUUUUUCAAUCACAAGCACAAGUAAGCUCUUUGAUGAGGUAGUAGCAUUCACGUAAAAGUUUAAGACAGGAGUUUAAUUUUUUUUCUCCUCAAUCUUGACUAAAACCAUUAAAGAAAUUAAUUUAUAGUUUUCUGAAAAUUACUCAGGACUGCUGAAAUAACACUUUCUGGAAAACAAUUUGUUCAAUAUAACUGUGCCAUGUGAUUUCGUGAUAGGAUUUGUAGGACCAUAGGAGCUAUUUGUUGGUCAGAAAAUAAAAUAAAAAAUAUUAAUAAUAUUAAAAUAAUUGGGACUCGAACAACGUGCCCCACUGUCCAACAUACCCCACCUACCCCUACAAUUUUGCUGUUCAGGAGAGCCGUUUUGUUUCCGUGAGAAAACAAGCAAGUUUUCUCACGGUUCCUAUAAAAUUUGGAAUCACGAACAAUCAUUACUUAUUUUAGUCAUCAUAAACUGAUGAUUUCUCUUCUUAAGAGCAAAGAUGAUGCAUACUAAAAAAUAUGUACAUAAAAUUAUGUACAUAAAUGAAUGAAAAACACAAUCUAUGCUAGUCAAAAGAGAUUGUUGAAUUAAAAUAUUCCCUGUAAUAUGUGUUUUACUUUUUCAUGUGUUUUUAGAACACCCUGUUAUUUGAAAUUAAACUUUACAACACACUUAAUGCAAAGUAGUUGAAAUACAGCUCUAUUUCAGUUAAAGUAUGUUUAUUUAUUUUCCAUUUAUAAUUUUAUGAACUACUUUAAAAAACAUUCCUGCCAAUUCGAAACCUCAGCCGUAUUGAUGAUUUAGCACAUUUGAAGAGUUUUACUUCAGCUUUUAAAUUUAUUUGCCCUUAAUGUUUUUUAAGUUUCUUCCAGAUAUUCUGCAACUUAAAGAAAGCUCAACUACUAAUUGAAUUGUAGCCUUGAUGCAGAUGUUCUAGAAAACUCAUGAUAAUAUUGUACUGUUUGCUUAAAAAAUUGUAUAAAAGAAUGAUCUCCAGUAUUAAGUUUACAAGGAUGUCCAGAAAUCAUUUUCGAAGUUUUCUUAGCUUGACAGCUUUAUUAAAACUAAUUUUAAUGAAGUUGUUUAAAAAAAGAUAAUAAAUUUCCAUGUAUAAUAUGCCAUUCAUGUUUGUUAUGUUGAAAACUUCAGGAAAUUUGUUGCCGAAAUGGUCUUGUCGUUUCAACAAAGACAUACAAACCAACGAAAAUUUUGUGUUUAAAUGCUAAAUAGUGUAAUUAAAUGAAAUUUUGAUCUUCAUACGGACAAUGCUGUAUUUCUGAUUUGUUACGCUUAUUGUCAAAUUUAUUGUCAUUCAUUUGUAUAAUAAUAUUGAAAUGUAAAGAGGUUAAACAAACAAUACUUUUGCAACAGAAAUUUUGCUGGAAUUCUGUUUUGAUUCUCUAAAUUUAGAGUUUUGAAUUUGUUUUGUAAAUCAAGUGCUUUCUUUAGGUUUAUGCUUGUUUGUCAUGUAAAAAUAUUGUUUUCAAUUCAGAUUUAUAAUAAAUUUUUUGGUAUUUAAGGCAAGGCUAAAAAAUUUAGGUAUACAUAAAAUUAUGAAAGAUGUAUUUAGGUUUGUUUAUUGUUAUAUCUUAUUUCAGCAUUAAAUGAACAGUUCAUUUCUGCUUAUUCUGUUCCUGUAAUUAUCCAGAACACCCCCCCCCCUCUCAAAAAGAGAUUUUUCUCCCCACUUAAACUACAGGACAGAAUUUGAAUAACUGCAAAUAUCUCCAAUUUUGGAAGGGAUUGGUAGCAACUGUUAUCUUAGUCCACUUCUGACUGUCAAUGCACCUGUUCUGUUUCUGACUGAGUUCUGGAAGCAUUUUUCAGUGUAUUAGAACAUACGUCGUGUUCAUCCAUCCAUGAUAUGGAGUAGUGAAUGGAAUAACAAUCUAUAUGAAAAAAUCUGAACAAAAAAUUCAAUUUAUUUCAAUCAAGGGAGUUUUUUUUUCAUAAAAAUUCACUUCACGAAUAGUAUAAGAGAAAAUAAAUUACAAGCAUCAGUAUAUUUUGCCCUGUCUAAUCGAAACUCCCUGAUUGAGUACAUGGGAAUAAAGCCUAUAACAAAAUUUAUUUUCUUUAUGUUUAUAAGUGACUGAAAAUUUUGAUUAAACUAAUGUUUUGUCCAUAAUUAUUAAUUUUAGGAAAUGAUACUUUGGAGUAAGGAAUUUUUAAAAAUUUGGUAAUAAUAACUACAUUUUGAACAUCUAAAUAUUUUGACGUUACGUUGCAUUUCAGAAAACACAAAGAUUAAUCUUUGCCUAUUUUGUUACUUAAGCAGUUAUUAAUAAUAAUAGUUUGUCCCAAAAUCUAUAAAAACUACAAAUCCUGUUUCGGUACCCUGAAUUUGAGUUCGAUUGCCUAGUUGAGAAAAAUGUCUUUGUUUCCUCGUUUUUUCCUCGUGUAAAAAUGUUGGAAAUUCUGUAUUUGAAAUAAAGUUUACAGAUGUAACAACACCAAAAAAUAAAUUGAACAUUAGAGACUUUGGUUGUAAUUUUUAUGUGGUAAUGACCUGAAGACUUAGUAUGGAAUUAAUGAGUUUUCUUUAUGCUAAGUUGUAUUUAAAAUAUCUGUCAAAAUUAAAUGUAAACAUUGCUUUUCCACGAAAAUAGAAAAUAAGUACUAGUCCUCUACUUUUACUGUGAAUGAUUUUUUCUUUGUAAUAUUGUUUUGAUGUGAAAAUAUUGUUCAAAAUUUAAGUAAUAGAUGUAUGAUGCAGAGAAAUAAAUAAAUACCAAUA